AACUAAAAAGUCUCCCAACGUGCAUACCGUCCAUUUGCAUGUUGUUGUGAGCCGCAUGGAAACUCGUACACAUGUGGUGGCAGCCGUCUGCUGUGCUUUUUUGUGCAGACAAUGGCUUACGAGUGGCUGUGUGCUUGUUGAACAACGGUGACCAAUUUGGCGUCUACGCCGUAUCUAGCUUCCGCCUGGACCGUCGGUUGCGAUGAAAGAUGCGGAGGAAGUUCCUUUGUGUUGGCUUAUCAUCAUUGAUCAGCUGAUGCAGAGUCGAGCAGACUUAAUGAGCCACGCUAGGUGGCCGCCAAAACCCAAAACACAACCGGUCUAUUUGACAUUGUUACUUUGUAUGUGUUGAAAAUGUACAAAUCUUGGCGGUGGAUCACUCGGUUCGUGGAUCGAUGAAGAACGCAGCCAGCUGCGAUAAAUAGUGCGAAUUGCAGACACAUUGAGCACUAAGAAUUCGAACGCACAUUGCGCUAUCGGGUUCAUUCCCGAUGGCACGUCUGGCUGAGGGUCGAAUUACGGUGAACUGUCUUCGCGGUUUUUAGUGACUGUGAAGCAUUCGGCGAGCAAUUGUUGCUGUGUUGUUGAUGAUUGAGUCGACAAUAUGGCACACGGUUCCUUGCUUAGUUAUGAAGAGAAGAAGACGUCAACACCGAACCUACUAUACUACUAGUACUAGUGUAUAGGUGAGGUGCUUUUGGUGGUCACAAAAGUGAAAAGUAUGCCAUUUCAUAGGGGCAACAACCAGCAUACAUGAUAAGUUGGCUGGUUGAUGAAACGGCAACGGAAUGAUGUAUGUGAUCAAAAAUGUUUAUAUUUGACCUCAGCUCAGUCGUGAUACCCGC
rnacentral:rRNA from 1 species